CCUACGGGAGGCAGCAGUAGGGAAUCUUCCACAAUGGGCGAAAGCCUGAUGGAGCAACGCCGCGUGGGUGAAGAAGGUCUUCGGAUCGUAAAACCCUGUUGUUAGAGAAGAACGUGCGUGAGAGUAACUGUUCACGUUUCGACGGUAUCUAACACGAAAGCCACGGCUAACUACGUGCCAGCAGCCGCGGUAAUACGUAGGUGGCAAGCGUUAUCCGGAUUUAUUGGGCGUAAAGGUAACGCAGGCGGUCCUUUAAGUAUGAUGUGAACGCCUUCGGGUUAACCGGAGUAGUGCAUUGGAAACUGGGAGACUUGAGUGCAGAAGAGGAGAGUGGAACGCCAUGUGUAGCGGUGAAAUGCGUAUAUA
rnacentral:rRNA from 1 species